rnacentral:rRNA from 1 species
UACGGAGGAUCCGAGCGUUAUCCGGAUUUAUUGGGUUUAAAGGGUGCUCAGGCGGGCCAUUAAGUCGGCGGUGAAAUUUUGCGGCUCAACCGUAAAAGUGCCUUCGAUACUGGUGGUCUUGAGUGUGGAUGAGGUAGGCGGAAUUCGUUGUGUAGCGGUGAAAUGCAUAGAUAUCACGAGGAACUCCUAUUGCGAAGGCAGCUUGCUGGGUCGUUACUGACGCUGAUGCUCGAAGGUGCGGGGAUCAAACAGGAUUAGAUACCCCCGUA